GAUGAACGCUGGCGGCGUGCCUAAUACAUGCAAGUCGAGCGAACAGACGAGGAGCUUGCUCCUCUGACGUUAGCGGCGGACGGGUGAGUAACACGUGGAUAACCUACCUAUAAGACUGGGAUAACUUCGGGAAACCGGAUCUAAUACCGGAUAAUAUAUUGAACCGCAUGGUUCAAUAGUGAAAGACGGUUUUGCUGUCACUUAUAGAUGGAUCCGCGCCGCAUUAGCUAGUUGGUAAGGUAACGGCUUACCAAGGCAACGAUGCGUAGCCGACCUGAGAGGGUGAUCGGCCACACUGGAACUGAGACACGGUCCAGACUCCUACGGGAGGCAGCAGUAGGGAAUCUUCCGCAAUGGGCGAAAGCCUGACGGAGCAACGCCGCGUGAGUGAUGAAGGUCUUCGGAUCGUAAAACUCUGUUAUUAGGGAAGAACAAAUGUGUAAGUAACUAUGCACGUCUUGACGGUACCUAAUCAGAAAGCCACGGCUAACUACGUG
rnacentral:rRNA from 1 species